ACAAGGUGGAUCGAAUCUAUAAAUACUCGAAAGGGGUUAGGGUUGCGCAUUAUACACUAUUUUUCCGCUCCGCCCCCAAUACCAAUACAUCACUAAUCACUCCUCUCCACAUUUCUGCGCAAGCUUUGGUUUUUCGAUGCUCCACCCAAUGCUGCAUUGUUCUCAUUGCCUCCUCCACUGCGAAGCCGAUCGCCUCGAUGACUUCGUAUGCUGUUCGGGCUGCGGCAAGGUUCUUGGCCAGUUCGUUGGAGGAAAAUACAUCCAUCACAGCCAACUACCUAUACUCGAUAGGGCCACCAAAUUGAAGAGAAGCAAGAAUGAGAAUAAGAAGAAGCGGCAUGAGAAAAUUGUAAUGGAUUCCGCGGAUCCGCAACUCGCGACAUAAAAUUUCUCUACGGCAGUUUUGGCUAAUGAUCGACUUAAAAUCAACAAUUAUUUUAUUUCAAAUCAUUACCUUCUUAAUUAAUUUUUUUUUAAA